UGUUGGGCCUAGGCCCAACGCAUGGAGGGUUGUGGCGCAUGGAACACGGUGGAAACUGCCAACGCGCUAGGAUCCGUAGCGGACGGCGAUCUGUCUUCGACUGCUCUCUGCCAUCGCUGUGGCGACCCCGACGGAGCCAAGCGACGGUUCAUCUUCUUGCGGCGGCGGCGACCUCGAGCUGAUUGCAGCGAGAAGGCGGGGACAAAUCGAUCUCCCCUAGCUGGCUACACCCGAUGGAGCCGAGGGUUCCUUGCGUUGACGGCGGCGGCGACGGCCUCGAGCUGAGGGCCGCGAGAAGGCAUCGACGGGAGGGCGGGCGAAUCCACGUCCUCGAUGCGCAAAUCCUGGAGCCUCAGCGACAGAGAUCGAAUCCAUUCAGGUUUGAAUGCGAGACUGGAUUUCGUAGGUGCUUUCAUCAUUUUACUAGAUUUCUGCACAUUCCAAUUACUUGCUCAAAGAAAUCUCGAUAACUGAGCAUCUGAAAGGAAAUCUUGAAUGGCUGCUGAUGAGUGUUCAUCAAGCUGCAGGUUACUUUGCUUCUACAGAGAGGGACAUCCAGGGCUAAUUACUCCUAUCAACAUAUAUACAUGCAUGUGAUGCCAUCUAUUGCCCUCUUUAAUUUUCCAAACUGAAUACAUUGGCUCAGGCCAUUGAAAGUGGCUGCAUUCUUCAAUUCCUAGCUAGCCAGCAGAUUUUUUUUCUUUUAAAAAGGCCGAUCUAGCUCAGCUAAUUUCUCUGUUUUGGGUUGAUGACUGUUGUGUGCUGUGUCAAGUAGCUGGCAAACCAUUUGUAAUAACCCUCUCUAGCUAGAGUGAGACUGCUUAUAUAUACUAGUUAGUCGCACGUGCAUUGUAUUUUUUAUUUUCAAAUUAUUAGUAUAUAUGUAUUUACAACAUAUCCCAUUCACAUAACACAAACAGCCCUCAGCUGUAGUGGUGGAACCGCUUAGUUCUUUACCCUGCCCGGGUUCGAGCCCCCCGUCAUGCCCAUUUUUUGCAGCUGAGCAUGCUGGGCGCACACACGGUUCUUGCUGGCGCGUGACGGGCGCGGACGACGCACGAAUAAACUUGUGCUUAAAGGUGUAGUGAUAGUGAUGUUUGUAUAUAACUUGCUAUCAUUAGCCACAUAUAUAUCUUGUCUUUUUUAAAGAAGCAGUUGACAAAAUGGUGAUAUCAAAUAUAAUGUCUUGACAAUCCAAUUGGUCUCUAAAAAGUAAAAACUCGAUUUGUUCCUCUCCGUCUGUGUAGCCUUAAGCCCGUAAACAUGAAAUUUAAAGAUCAAAUCAACAUCCUCUUCAGAUAAGACAUGUCGUGCUUCUCGUCUCUUAUUGUAGCUUGGCACAAGCAAGGCAUUGAGCCUUAGUAACCAGGAACUGGGAACGUGGCCACGUUCCGGGAACGUGGGAACAAUCUUGUUCCAGUAGUGUUAAAACCUAGUUUUAGUAGCGUACCAUGUACCACGUUCCCGUUCCUCGAUCCCAUCGAUCCGGGAACCUGGUUACUAAGCAUUGAGCACCCUGCAAUGCCUGGGAUCUUUAGUACUGUUGGCUGAUAUUAGUUUUUCUAAAAACCUCUCCUGCAUACCGUAACUAAACAUAUGUUGUUUAACAAUGUGGUGUUUGGUUUGAAAAGUUAAUCCGUUCUAGAUAAGGUGGUGCAUCAUGAGUCCAUUCUCCAUUCCACAAAUUUUGGUGAAAUGAAUUAAUUUCUCAUUAUUAUUACUAAUCAUUAGCCUAUGAGGAAUGAAAUGUUGAUGGAUAAAUUCAUUCCAUUCCACAAACCAAACAAAAAGGUGAGGAGUGAGAAGAUGAUGGACUACCUCAUUCCUCAAACCAAACAAGGUACAAGUGUCUGGCAUUUAGGAGCUCCUGAAUAAUACAUGUUUUGAGCACAAGCGCCGUUUUUUAUAUCAGGAUAUUAUGUGCUUUAUUUCAUUAUACUGGAUCUGUCCAAAUUCAAAUACAUUAAAAUGAUGAUACUACUCUGUAUUGCGUCUCAACUAUAUAUGUUAACCAUCUCCAUAUCCUAUAAGUGUAGUCCGUGCAUAAAUGCUUUGAGAAGAAGGAUAACAUGCAUAAAUCAAUUUCAGAGCUCAUCUUUUAUGUAGAACAGUUACCAGUUAAAUUAGUCCAUCCAGUCACAAGAAGCAGUACUUCGGACAAUGGACAUAGACACUGAGCCGUGCAGUUUUAGAGAGCUUUUAUGUGUGUAUAUGGUUUAUGUUCAGAAUAGAUAGUCCUUACGUAAAGAUCCUUGCUUUUAGAGUUUUUUAAGGAUGACCUGAACAGAGAGACUACUUCUAGGCUAUGAAACAAGAUUUUAUGCUUUAUGGCACUAAAGAAGUGAAUAAGCUUGGAACACAAUCAAACACAAGUCGUUGGCUGCAAAAGAUAUGAAGAUGCCUUUUAUCCAAACAACAGUUUCUAAACGUAAAAUAGAACAAUAGCAUUCUUAUGCAGAACAAUUUACAGACGGAAAUGAUUUGUACUAUUUCUCAGGUGCAAACCAACCAUUUCUCAGGUGCAAACCAUUUCGAUCUGAACAUCUUUCAUCUAUUAACUCAACGAGAGGUCUUACCUCGAACGAAACACCAUGCUAAAAGGAUAUGGAAUAACUCUCCAAAAUAUGAUCCUCAUUUAAUUGAGUUAAGGUUUUCAGAUGCAGAUGCUAAACUUGGUAUUUUAUCUUGGGCAGAAUCACUGUCCCUGCAUCGCUGGUCUGCCAAGUAUUGCCCUCUUUUGCCACCUCCUAGGUCAACUAUUGCAGCUGCUUUCAGUCCAGAUGGAAAAUCACUUGCGUCCACACAUGGUGACCAUACUGUGAAAAUAAUGGACUGCCAUACAGGGAAAUGUGUGAAGGUUUUGAGUGGACAUCGACGCACUCCUUGGGUGGUCAGGUACCAUCCUUUACAUUCUGACAUUCUGGCUAGUGGAAGUUUGGAUCAUGAGGUUCGUCUGUGGGAUGCUAAUACUUCAGACUGUAUUGGAUCACAAGACUUCCAUCGGCCAAUUGCGUCCAUUGCAUUUCAUGGAAGAGGAGAGAUUCUGGCAGUUGCAUCAGGUCACAAAUUGUACAUAUGGAACUACAAUAAGAGAGAUGAUGCUUCUGUCCCAACCAUCAUACUAAGGACCCGCCGUUCGUUGAGAGCUGUGCAUUUUCACCCGCAUGGCGCUCCAUAUCUUCUAACAGCAGAGGUUAAUAAUAUAGAGUCUGCAGACUCACCGCUGACUCUGGCAAGAUCAUCUGGAUAUUCAAACUACCCUUCGGCCCUGCUGGUGUCAAACACUAAUUCUAGAUUCUGUCCACUUCCUGAGUCCAAUGUGACGUCACCGUGCUUACUGUGGCCUGCGUACCUCAGAGAUGAUGGGAUUUUACAUGUGCUUGGCAAUGCCAGUAGUUCAACCAUUGUGCAGCAGAGAUCAUCAUUAGUUCAACCUUCCACAUCAGAUACUGCAAAUCUACAGCUUGAACAGUUUGCUACCCCUAUGGAUGUAUGUCCUGGAGAGCCAACUUCAUUUAAUAACAUAUCAGAUGCAGUAACUGUGCCUACUUCAAAUGCAAUUGAAAUGCAUGGUGCUGGCGGCCAGUCUAACCCAAGACUGCAGGGCAGCAGCUCUAUUAGUAAUCUUGAGAGGUUCAGUGCUAGAGAUGCUUUGCAAGUGUCUUCCCUGAGCAGCAUUGAGCCAAUCCCAUCAACAGCUGGGUCUUCGGGAUCCAAUUCACGCCGUGCUAUGCCACUGAAUAUGCUCCUCACUGGUGGAUUAGAUGUUCAAAUGUUCCAAAGAAAUGUAGGAAGUGGACAACAGGAUCAUUUUCUCUUCGGCGACUCAAGUAACUGGGAAGUGCCAUUUGUGCAGGGUUUUUUGAUGACCCAAAACCAUACAGGUUUGCACCCUGCACUUGUGAACAAUAAUGUCCUUGAAGACCUAUCUGGUGCUGGUACUGCAGGGAUUAACAACUCAACUAGGGAAUCAUCACACAUGCAUAACUUUGGACGUCCAGGUGCUUCAUCAUCGAUUCCCCUUACUUCUGGCAGUUCUAGGAGACCAAAUCGACACUAUGCCUCACGCUCUGUGCCUGGGGUUGGGAGUUUGCUCCUAGUAGGUCCUCAAAUUGACGAAGCUGAAGCUCAUGCUGCUUCACUAGGUGCUGGUUCAGAAAUCACUGCGUCGAUGCUUGCUCCUGGUACUGAAUUGCCUUGUACAGUGAAGCUCAGAAUAUGGCGGCAUGAUAUCAAUGAACCAUGUGUUCCUUUAGCACCUGAGGCAUGCCGUCUGACGAUUUCUCAUGCCGUUCUUUGCAGUGAAAUGGGUGCCCAUUUUUCCCCAUGUGGACGAUUUCUUGUAGCCUGCGUUGCAUGUUUGUUGCCUCAAACAGAAGGUGGCCGUGGUAGCCAAUUGCCUGUGCCUUAUGAAGAGGCUGGAUCAUCACCAACUCGUCAUCCACUUCCCUCUCACCGAGUUAUUUAUGAGCUUCGGGUUUAUUCGCUUGAGGAGGAGACAUUUGGGGAUAUUCUUGCUUCUAGAGCAAUAAGGGCAGCACAUUGCUUAACUUCCAUUCAGUUCUCACCUACAUCCGAACACAUACUUUUGGCAUAUGGUCGUCGUCAUAGCUCGCUGCUUAGGAGCAUAGUCGUGGAGGGAGAAAAUGGGAUUCCUGUAUAUACUAUUUUGGAGGUAUAUAGAGUUUCAGAUAUGGAGCUUGUGAGAGUGCUUCCUAGUGCCGAAGAUGAAGUCAAUGUUGCAUGCUUUCAUCCUUUACCAGGAGGUGGCCUUGUUUAUGGGACUAAGGAAGGGAAGCUCAGGAUCCUUCAACACAAUGGCGCAAACAUGAUAAACAUGGGGUCGGGUUGCUUCAUUGAGGAAAAUAUGGUUGAGAUCCAGAGGUAUGCAUUGGAAUGCUGAAUAAGCUUGACCACAUCAUGUGAAUUUUAGGCUUACUUCCAUGAAAGACUUCUCUGCAGGCUUCAUCUGUGUGAUCCGUCCAAGGGAAAACAUUAGAUCCAUCUCCAACUACAUUAGAACAGAUAAUUCUCAAUGGGCUCUUUCAAGUGCCUUGGGGACUGGUCUUUGCAGGGGCGGCAGGAGAUGUAAAUCUACAUGGCCACCGUCGUGGCUGCCAUCACGAUGCUGUAAUUAUACCUUUUGUACAUGUAUUCCAAUCAGCUUAACUCGAUUGCUGUUGUAUUUCAGAACGUUGACGGUGCUAAUACUUCUGAAGUCUUUUUGUUGUAUACUUCACCUAUCCUAACAAGCGGUCGAUGAUGCAAGAAAUUACAAAGGCGAAUGGGAUUCUCUGGGUUUGAUUUUACACGUGAUAAUCAUGUAUUUUUUUCCUGUUCUCGUCUGGGUUGAUUAAUCAUUAAACGUUUGGAGUUUCUAUAUCUGUAUGAAAUAGCAUCUGUUGCAACAUAAGAAUAUGGUUGACACUAGACGUCUACAAGGGCUGGUCUAGAAUGCCGUGCUAUUGUCAUUAUUUUUUAAGUUUACCAAGAGCUAUCUGAACGCGUUCCAUUUGGAUUGAGGUGUAUUGAAGUGGAUGGAUGAGGAUUUUGAUUA